rnacentral:rRNA from 1 species
GAUGAACGCUGGCGGCGUGCCUAAUACAUGCAAGUAGAACGCUGAAGGAGGAGCUUGCUCUUCUGGAUGAGUUGCGAACGGGUGAGUAACGCGUAGGUAACCUGCCUGGUAGCGGGGGAUAACUAUUGGAAACGAUAGCUAAUACCGCAUGACAACAGUUAUUGCAUGAUAACUGUUUAAAAGGGGCAACUGCUCCACUACCAGAUGGACCUGCGUUGUAUUAGCUAGUUGGUGAGGUAACGGCUCACCAAGGCGACGAUACAUAGCCGACCUGAGAGGGUGAUCGGCCACACUGGGACUGAGACACGGCCCAGACUCCUACGGGAGACAGCAGUAGGGAAUCUUCGGCAAUGGACGGAAGUCUGACCGAGCAACGCCGCGUGAGUGAAGAAGGUUUUCGGAUCGUAAAGCUCUGUUGUAAGAGAAGAACGAGUGUGAGAGUGGAAAGUUCACACUGUGACGGUAUCUUACCAGAAAGGGACGGCUAACUACGUG